CCUACGGGAGGCAGCAGUAGGGAAUUUUUCGCAAUGGGGGCAACCCUGACGGAGCAAUGCCGCGUGGAGGAUGAAGGUUUUCGAAUCGUAAACUCCUGUUGCAAGGGAAGAACGGCAGAAGUAGUGGAAUGGCUUCUGUGUGACGGUACCUUACCAGAAAGCCUCGGCUAACUACGUGCCAGCAGCCGCGGUAAUACGUAGGAGGCAAGCGUUAUCCGGAAUUAUUGGGCGUAAAGAGCAUGUAGGCGGUUUAUUAAGUCUGGUGUGAAAGCUAGUGGCCUAACCACUAAAUUGCAUUGGAAACUGGUAAACUAGAAUACUGGAGAGGUAAGUGGAACUCCAUGUGUAGCGGUGGAAUGCGCAGAUAUAUGGAAGAACACCAACGGCGAAGGCAGCUUACUGGACAGAGAUUGACGCUGAGAUGCGAAAGCGUGGGGAGCAAACAGGAUUAGAUACCCUGGUAGUC
rnacentral:rRNA from 1 species